AGUGAACGCUGGCGGCGUGCUUAAUACAUGCAAGUCGAACGAUGAAGUCCUAGCUUGCUAGGAUGGAUUAGUGGCGCACGGGUGAGUAAUAUAUAGUUAAUCUGCCUUGCACUGAGGAACAACAGUUGGAAACGAUUGCUAAUACCUCAUACUCCAACUUUACACAAGUUAAGUUGGGAAAGUCUUUUCGGUGCAAGAUGAGACUAUAUCGUAUCAGCUAGUUGGUAAGGUAAUGGCUUACCAAGGCUAUGACGCGCAACUGGUCUGAGAGGAUGAUCAGUCACAUGGGAACUGAGACACGGUCCAAACUCCUACGGGAGGCAGCAGUAAGGAAUAUUGUGCAAUGGGGGAAACCCUGACGCAGCAACGCCGCGUGGAGGAUGACACUUUUCGGAGCGUAAACUCCUUUUGUUAGGGAAGAAUAAUGACGGUACCUAACGAAUAAGCACCGGCUAACUCCGUG
rnacentral:rRNA from 1 species